rnacentral:ncRNA from 1 species
ACGAUACUCUGGAAAGCCGUAACAACGGCGCCGAAGGGGCAAAUCUUUCAGGCAUUUUGACAGAGCGCA